AUCAAGAAUAGUUAACACGGUCAUAGUAAUACCUGAAGCAGAAUGGAUGACAUAACCGAGAUAAGAAAUGAGAAAUAAUACAAAUAGAGCUAAGAGAGCCAUGAAAAUAAGAGCAAUACGAAAGUAAAAAAAAAUAGUAAAUAAAAAAUAAUGAAAGGCCACCCCCUCAUAGUAGCAUACACUAAUGGCUCCUACCAGUGAGCACAGUCGUAAGCUUACUAAGCUGGUUACACUAGAGCUCCCUAACUACUAGCUAUAACCCACAGACGUAUUAACCUCCUACCCUAAUCUGCAACCUCCACACCUUUCUAUCUAGAGUCAUGUCCUCAGAAAGCUGUAACAACCCCCAUGUCUUGCCUAAU
rnacentral:lncRNA from 1 species